rnacentral:rRNA from 1 species
ACUCUCUCUUCGGAGCAUCGAGUGACAGGUGGUGCAUGGUUGUCGUCAGCUCGUGUCGUGAGAUGUUGGGUUAAGUCCCGCAACGAGCGCAACCCCUGUUCUUAGUAGCCAGCAUUUUGGAUGGGCACUCUAGGGAGACUGCCAGGGAUAACCUGGAGGAAGGCGGGGAUGACGUCAAAUCAUCAUGCCCCUUAUGACUUGGGCUACACACGUGCUACAAUGGCGUAAACAAAGGGAAGCGGAGCCGCGAGGCCGAGCAAAUCUCAAAAAUAACGUCUCAGUUCGGACUGUAGUCUGCAACCCGACUACACGAAGCUGGAAUCGCUAGUAAUCGCAGAUCAGAAUGCUGCGGUGAAUACGUUCCCGGGUCUUGUACACACCGA